CCUACGGGGUGCAGCAGUGGGGGAUAUUGCACAAUGGGGGAAACCCUGAUGCAGCGACGCCGCGUGGGUGAAGAAGCGCCUCGGCGCGUAAAGCCCUGUCAGCAGGGAAGAAAAUGACGGUACCUGAAGAAGAAGCCCCGGCUAACUACGUGCCAGCAGCCGCGGUAAUACGUAGGGGGCAAGCGUUAUCCGGAUUUACUGGGUGUAAAGGGGGCGCAGACGGCGAUGCAGGCCAGGGGUGAAAGCCCGGGGCCCAACCCCGGGACUGCUCUUGGAACUGCGUGGCUAGAGUGCAGGAGGGGCAGGCGGAAUUCCUGGUGUAGCGGUGAAAUGCGUAGAUAUCAGGAGGAACACCGGUGGCGAAGGCGGCCUGCUGGACUGCAACUGACGUUGAGGCCCGAAAGCGUGGGGAGCAAACAGGAUUAGAUACCCCUGUAGUC
rnacentral:rRNA from 1 species